AAAAGUCAGAGACAAGAAAUUUUCAAGAUUUUCAUUGUUAUAGAUUUAUUUGUUUUCGAUAUCCGUCAUACUUCAUGUUGAUUAGCGGAUUUGAGGCCAGCCAUCAUAAACACACAAUAUCCAAGUUUUCUUGUGCAGAUGUUAACCUGUCAUCAGCAGCAAUCUCAGGAUUCGCUUGGAUAAAGAGCAUCCCAUUGCAUUUGAAAAACUACCGAUGUCAAUCGAGUUUCGGAUCUCUCUUUUUCCCCUUUCUUUAAAUGUCCUCGUGUACGCCCAUGUGAAUGUGGGUGUAUUCACGAGGACACCCUUUUUACCCUAUCCCGUCUGUUGUAAUUCAACUCUUCAGCGGAUGGAUGGAGCAACUGUGGAUGCCUGGCUGUAUUUCCCAGGCAUAAAGGUAGGACAAAAUUGAUCCCUAUUCUUUCAUUUUUGACAAUUUUUGGUGACGUUGAUUAUAAAUCGUAGUCAUGGAGUA